GUAGGCGGUUUGCCGCGUCUGCUGUGAAAGCCCGGGGCUUAACUCCGGGUGUGCAGUGGGUACGGGCAGGCUAGAGUGCAGUAGGGGAGACUGGAAUUCCUGGUGUAGCGGUGAAAUGCGCAGAUAUCAGGAGGAACACCGAUGGCGAAGGCAGGUCUCUGGGCUGUUACUGACGCUGAGAAGCGAAAGCAUGGGUAGCGAACAGGAUUAGAUACCCUGGUAGUCCAUGCCGUAAACGUUGGGCACUAGGUGUGGGGGACAUUCCACGUUUUCCGCGCCGUAGCUAACGCAUUAAGUGCCCCGCCUGGGGAGUACGGCCGCAAGGCUAAAACUCAAAGGAAUUGACGGGGGCCCGCACAAGCGGCGGAGCAUGCGGAUUAAUUCGAUGCAACGCGAAGAACCUUACCAAGGCUUGACAUACACCGGACCGCGCUGGAGACAGCGUUUCCCUUCGGGGCUGGUGUACAGGUGGUGCAUGGUUGUCGUCAGCUCGUGUCGUGAGAUGUUGGGUUAAGUCCCGCAACGAGCGCAACCCUUAUCCUAUGUUGCCAGCACGUGAUGGUGGGGACUCAUGGGAGACUGCCGGGGUCAACUCGGAGGAAGGUGGGGAUGACGUCAAAUCAUCAUGCCCCUUAUGUCUUGGGCUUCACGCAUGCUACAAUGGCCGGUACAGUGGGUUGCGAUGCCGUGAGGUGGAGCUAAUCCCUAAAAGCCGGUCUCAGUUCGGAUCGAAGUCUGCAACUCGACUUCGUGAAG
rnacentral:rRNA from 1 species